GCGGGGGUGGCAGAGCUAGGCCAAAUAUUAGGCGAAGGCCAGAUGAUCCCGUCCCGAAGGGGUUCGUGGGUUCGAAUCCCACCCCCCGCACCA
rnacentral:tRNA from 1 species